AGGAUGAACGCUGGCGGCGUGCUUAACACAUGCAAGUCGAGCGGAGGUUGUACUUCGGUACAACCUUAGCGGCGGACGGGUGAGUAACGCGUGGGUGACCUGCCUUAUACAGGGGGAUAACAGUGAGAAUCACUGCUAAUACCGCAUAAGACCACAGUGCUGCAUGGCACAGAGGUAAAGGAGCAAUCCAGUAUAAGAUGGACCCGCGUCUGAUUAGCUAGUUGGAGAGGUAACGGCUCACCAAGGCGACGAUCAGUAGCCGACCUGAGAGGGUGAUCGGCCACAUUGGGACUGAGACACGGCCCAAACUCCUACGGGAGGCAGCAGUGGGGAAUAUUGCACAAAAUGGGGGAAACCCUGAUGCAGCAACGCCGCGUGAAGGAAGACGGUUUUCGGAUUGUAAACUUCUAUCGACGGGGAAGAAAAAAUGACAGUACCCGAGUAAGAAGCCCCGGCUAACUACGUGCCAGCCGCAGC
rnacentral:rRNA from 1 species